rnacentral:rRNA from 1 species
UACGUAGGGUGCGAGCGUUGUCCGGAAUUAUUGGGCGUAAAGGGCGCGUAGGCGGCCUGCUAAGUCGGAUGUGAAAUCCCUCAGCUUAACUGGGGAACUGCGUGUGAUACUGGAUGGCUUGGAUUUGGGGAGAGGGAUGCGGAAUUCCAGGUGUAGCGGUGAAAUGCGUAGAUAUCUGGAGGAACACCGGUGGCGAAGGCGGCAUCCUGGACCAAUAUUGACGCUGAGGAGCGAAAGCUAGGGGAGCAAACGGG